rnacentral:rRNA from 1 species
AUGGCUCAGGAUGAACGCUAGCUACAGGCUUAACACAUGCAAGUCGAGGGGCAGCAUGGUCUUAGCUUGCUAAGGCCGAUGGCGACCGGCGCACGGGUGAGUAACACGUAUCCAACCUGCCGUCUACUCUUGGACAGCCUUCUGAAAGGAAGAUUAAUACAAGAUGGCAUCAUGAGUCCGCAUGUUCACAUGAUUAAAGGUAUUCCGGUAGACGAUGGGGAUGCGUUCCAUUAGAUAGUAGGCGGGGUAACGGCCCACCUAGUCUUCGAUGGAUAGGGGUUCUGAGAGGAAGGUCCCCCACAUUGGAACUGAGACACGGUCCAAACUCCUACGGGAGGCAGCAGUGAGGAAUAUUGGUCAAUGGGCGAGAGCCUGAACCAGCCAAGUAGCGUGAAGGAUGACUGCCCUAUGGGUUGUAAACUUCUUUUAUAAAGGAAUAAAGUCGGGUAUGCAUACCCGUCUGCAUGUACUUUAUGAAUAAGGAUCGGCUAACUCCGUGCCAGCAGCCGCGGUAAUACGGAGGAUCCGAGCGUUAUCCGGAUUUAUUGGGUUUAAAGGGAGCGUAGAUGGAUGUUUAAGUCAGUUGUGAAAGUUUGCGGCUCAACCGUAAAAUUGCAGUUGAUACUGGAUAUCUUGAGUGCAGUUGAGGCAGGCGGAAUUCGUGGUGUAGCGGUGAAAUGCUUAGAUAUCACGAAGAACUCCGAUUGCGAAGGCAGCCUGCUAAGCUGCAACUGACAUUGAGGCUCGAAAGUGUGGGUAUCAAACAGGAUUAGAUACCCUGGUAGUCCACACGGUAAACGAUGAAUACUCGCUGUUUGCGAUAUACAGCAAGCGGCCAAGCGAAAGCGUUAAGUAUUCCACCUGGGGAGUACGCCGGCAACGGUGAAACUCAAAGGAAUUGACGGGGGCCCGCACAAGCGGAGGAACAUGUGGUUUAAUUCGAUGAUACGCGAGGAACCUUACCCGGGCUUAAAUUGCAGAUGAAUUACGGUGAAAGCCGUAAGCCGCAAGGCAUCUGUGAAGGUGCUGCAGGGUUGUCGUCAGCUCGUGCCGUGAGGUGUCGGCUUAAGUGCCAUAACGAGCGCAACCCUUGUUGUCAGUUACUAACAGGUUCCGCUGAGGACUCUGACAAGACUGCCAUCGUAAGAUGUGAGGAAGGUGGGGAUGACGUCAAAUCAGCACGGCCCUUACGUCCGGGGCUACACACGUGUUACAAUGGGGGGGUACAGAGGGCCGCUACCACGCGAGUGGAUGCCAAUCCCAAAAACCUCUCUCAGUUCGGACCGGAGUCUGCAACCCGACUCCACGAAGCUGGAUUCGCUAGUAAUCGCGCAUCAGCCACGGCGCGGUGAAUACGUUCCCGGGCCUUGUACACACCGCCCGUCAAGCCAUGGGAGCCGGGGGUACCUGAAGUGCGUAACCGCGAGGAGCGCCCUAGGGUAAAACUGG